CAUCCUCUCUGGAGCACCUGGCACUGGUCACUGUCAGACUACAGGCUACUGGGCUAGAUGGACCAUUGGCCUGACCCAGUAUGGCCACUCUUAUGUUCUUAUGAAACUGUGCUCCUUUUCUCUCCUGCAGCUUCUAUUGCUGAACAAUAACAUGGAGAGAAAAAUGCUUCCCAACCCCAGCUAGUUUAAGCCUUGAAGCAUGGAAAUAUGAUGUGCUGUAAAAGAGCUGCUGUGU